rnacentral:rRNA from 1 species
UACAGAGGGUGCAAGCGUUAAUCGGAAUUACUGGGCGUAAAGCGUGCGCAGGCGGCUUUGCAAGACAGAUGUGAAAUCCCCGGGCUCAACCUGGGAACUGCAUUUGUGACUGCAUGGCUGGAGUGCGGCAGAGGGGGAUGGAAUUCCGCGUGUAGCAGUGAAAUGCGUAGAUAUGCGGAGGAACACCGAUGGCGAAGGCAAUCCCCUGGGCCUGCACUGACGCUCAUGCACGAAAGCGUGGGGAGCAAACAGG